rnacentral:rRNA from 1 species
GAAAGCGGAGGUAAUACCGAAUGUAGUCGUGUCGCGAAUGCGACAUUGUCUAAAGGUGGGGAUCCUUCGGGACCUGCCGCUUGAGGAUGAGCCCGCGUCCCAUCAGCUUGUUGGUGAGGUAACGGCCCACCAAGGCUAUGACGGGUAGCUGGUCUGAGAGGAUGGUCAGCCACACUGGGACUGAGACACUGCCCAGACUCCUACGGGAGGCUGCAGUCGAGAAUCAUUCGCAAUGCGCGAAAGCGUGACGAUGCGACGCCGCGUGGAGGAUGAAGGCCUUCGGGUUGUAAACUCCUGUCAUGAGGGAACAAUCGCCGGGGUGUUAAUAGCGCUUCGGUUUGAUGGUACCUCAAGAGGAAGCCACGGCUAACUCUGUGCCAGCAGCCGCGGUAAUACAGAGGUGGCGAGCGUUGUUCGGAUUUACUGGGCGUAAAGGGUGCGUAGGCGGCAUCGUAUGUCGGAUGUGAAAGCUCACGGCUCACCCGUGGAACUGCAUCCGAAACUGCGGAGCUGGAGUACAGGAGAGGAGAGCGGAAUUCUCGGUGUA